rnacentral:rRNA from 1 species
GCUAGCGUUGUUCGGAAUUACUGGGCGUAAAGCGCGUGCAGGCGGUUGUCCAAGUUGGAUGUGAAAGCCUUGAGCUUAACUCAAGAAAUGCAUUCAGGACUGGAUGACUAGAGGACCGGAGAGGAUAGUGGAAUUCCCAGUGUAGUGGUGAAAUACGUAGAGAUUGGGAAGAACACCAGUGGCGAAGGCGGCUAUCUGGACGGUUUCUGACGCUAAGACGCGAAAGCGUGGGGAGCAAACAGG